rnacentral:rRNA from 1 species
AUGAUGGGGAUACCAAUGCAUACAUGUAGAACAAAAUUACCAGCAUUAACCCACUACUUGAAGUACAAGCUAAGUAUGUAUCAAGUGACAACAAAAACAAGUUUAUAUGCUAGUACAAAAUCACCAUCGUUAACAAGUUUACAUGGGAAUGAAAACAAUCAUCAAUACUGGAUUAAACACAAUGCUAUCUUCAUAUUAGCAAACAGAAUAUCUCAUUUUCAUAUUCUCAGUAAGCAAGUACAAUCUGCUUCAACCCAUGUGCUAAAAAAGAUGUUUAUCCCUCCCAAGAGUACAUUUCAUGGUUUAUUAUGGCUCGGAGGUAGUAUGUAUCAAGUAACGACGAAAACAAGUUGA